AUUGAACGCUGGCGGCAUGCCUUACACAUGCAAGUCGAACGGCAGCACGGGAGCAAUCCUGGUGGCGAGUGGCGAACGGGUGAGUAAUAUAUCGGAACGUGCCCGGUCGUGGGGGAUAACGUAGCGAAAGCUACGCUAAUACCGCAUACGAUCUACGGAUGAAAGCGGGGGAUCGCAAGACCUCGCGCGAUUGGAGCGGCCGAUAUCAGAUUAGGUAGUUGGUGAGGUAAGGGCUCACCAAGCCGACGAUCUGUAGCUGGUCUGAGAGGACGACCAGCCACACUGGGACUGAGACACGGCCCAGACUCCUACGGGAGGCAGCAGUGGGGAAUUUUGGACAAUGGGCGCAAGCCUGAUCCAGCAAUGCCGCGUGCAGGAUGAAGGCCUUCGGGUUGUAAACUGCUUUUGUACGGAACGAAACGGUGAGCUCUAAUACAGUUUGCUAAUGACGGUACCGCAAGAAUAAGCACCGGCUAACUACGUG
rnacentral:rRNA from 1 species